rnacentral:rRNA from 1 species
GACGAACGCUGGCGGCGUGCUUAACACAUGCAAGUCGAGCGGUAAGGCCCUUUCGGGGGUACACGAGCGGCGAACGGGUGAGUAACACGUGGGUGACCUGCCCUCAGCUCUGGGAUAAGCCUGGGAAACCGGGUCUAAUACCGGAUAUGACUCCAUGACGCAUGUUGUGGGGUGGAAAGCCUUGUGCGGCUGAGGAUGGGCCCGCGGCCUAUCAGCUUGUUGGUGGGGUGAUGGCCUACCAAGGCGACGACGGUAGCCGGCCUGAGAGGGCGACCGGCCACACUGGGACUGAGACACGGCCCAGACUCCUACGGGAGGCGAGCAGUGGGGAAUCGUUGCGCAAUGGGCGAAAGCCUGACGCAGCGACGCCGCGUGAGGGAUGACGGCCU